CAGCAGUGGGGAAUAUUGCACAAUGGGCGCAAGCCUGAUGCAGCCAUGCCGCGUGUAUGAAGAAGGCCUUCGGGUUGUAAAGUACUUUCAGCAGUGAGGAAGGUGGGUAUGUUAAUAGCAUACUCAUUUGACGUUAGCUGCAGAAGAAGCACCGGCUAACUCCGUGCCAGCAGCCGCGGUAAUACGGAGGGUGCGAGCGUUAAUCGGAAUUACUGGGCGUAAAGCGCAUGCAGGUGGUUUGUUAAGUCAGAUGUGAAAGCCCGGGGCUCAACCUCGGAAUUGCAUUUGAAACUGGCAAACUAGAGUACUGUAGAGGGGGUAGAAUUUCAGGUGUAGCGGUGAAAUGCGUAGAGAUCUGAAGGAAUACCGGUGGCGAAGGCGGCCCCCUCGGACAGAUACUGACACUCAGAUGCGAAAGCGUGGGGAGCAAACAGGAUUAGAUACCCUGGUAG
rnacentral:rRNA from 1 species